AAAAGUCACGGUGGCAGCCAUCUAGAGGUACAUAGCGCAGAGAACCUAUCUGUGACGUCACAUGAAAACUAUGUAUAGGAUUUCCACACACCGCGCCUCACCCCCAAGCAAGCCCGGAACCGGCUGUUCGGCCCACUCAAAUUGAGUAACUGUAUAUACAGUAACUCUGCACUCAAAAUGCUUCUAUUACACUCAAGCGGGGCUGAGCGUAAGCGACACUCGGCUAAAAAUAUCUAUUAUUUGAACAAACUCGGUUACGGCGCGAGCAAGCGUCUGAACAAACUGGAAUGACAUAAAAUAGACAGAAAAAACAUCUGCAAUACGUCAUUCGUUGCUGUAUUGUACAUUGACACUGGUGGCCCAACGCGCCAAUUCUCGCCAGCGCGGUCUUGGUACACCGAAAAGCCACAUACUGCCGCUCCAUUGCCGAGGAGACUUGUGGAUUGAUGAAAUAGACAGUGGUCUGAAGCAACAAUGAUCUCUUUCGCCACGCUUCAAUAAAAAAUGAUAGUUUUCAAUGCAGCAAAACUCCUGCUAAGAGCGAACUCUGGUCACAAACUUUCGUUUUAUUUUACUCACAAUGGACGUGGUCUUGUUUAAGUGCGAGUAGCCGGAUCCGAAAGUUUGAAUCAUGCUUCGGGGCAGAAGCAGCGGCCAUGUUUCUAUGGUAUCUCUACAUGUAUUCUUGUUGCAGCGCUGCGUGUCGGAAGGCGUUACGUAGAUGGCGUCGUGAUCGGUGCAUGGUGUUGGCCGUGUGUGUUACCUCGCGUCGCCGGCUUCGCGCCAAAUUUAUACCAUUAUUCGCGUUGGACGCGCUUCCGAACAUGUCAGCGUUGAACGUGGACUUGUUUGGAAUAGCGCGCGGCCGCUGCAAAGAAGUGGGUUGUGACUGUGAACGCUACACUGUGCUCGCUUCAGCUAACGUACGGUGUGACUACUGUGAUCAUUGCCCCGGAUCGCAUGGAAGAUUAGACGAACUUGGUAAGUGGUUCUUUUUCAUUGUUCUGUUUUCUCUGUUUUCGGUAUAGAUAAACUUUUUUUGUGCGAAAGUGUUCUCACCCGCACCUGUCGAGAUUUAACGGCUGCCAGGAAAGAAAAGGAGGCUUCAGCUGUGCCCAAUGGGGGAAUUCGUCGCGAACGAUGCCUGGCAAGGCUUUCGCCGGUUCUUUGGCGCUUUAUGCGUUUGCUUUGGCCACUCCGGCUUUGUGUUCGUCGUCAGCUUCGGCAGUGCCCUUGUCAUGACGUUUGUUGACAUUAUAACCGCGUUUGGCAUUGUUUGCAGGUAUUCUCAAUGCGUUCUGUUUUUCGAGCUUUUAUGACGGCAACAGUGUAAUAGUGUCAGCAACACGUGCUCCUUUGCAAGCACUUAGAGAAGCCUACGGUGCACUGUUUGUCUAUGACGUUUGUCUUCAACACUGUUUGUUUGUAUGUUUGUCUGUUUGUUUGACUGUCUUCAACGGCGACGGCGGGGUGCCGGCCUAAGGAGCUUCGCUACUAAUAAUUUGAGUUUUUACAGCGUCUAUGGGAGCACCUACGGCUGGAAAUGCUGUCUCUAAUGUGCUGGAGAACUCCGGACAGGCCGGUACCUUUAGUAAUCUUGUGCAUCGAGGUGGAACUUCGGUUCAAUGCUAACAUAGCAAGACUCGAGAGCGAACUCAAUGAUGUGGUAGACGUUUUCUCUGAAAAGAAAGAACGGGUCUGCACACUGGUGGAUGUUAUGAAGCACAUACAAGGCAACGUUGGGCACAGUCUGAUAAAUGAGACGGAAUUGCCUGGUGAUGAACUUCAAAUAUCAGCGCCUCACAUUUACUGCACUCCUGACUAAGUCUGCGUUUUUGCUGGCAGCCAAGCCGAAGUCAUCUCUGUCUCCACAUCUGGAUUACCGCGGGCACUUAUUUUUUGUCUUUUGGUGUAUUAUAUAAAGAACUUACAGUAUCCAUUUGCGUAUUCCCAGAUGCUUGCUCUUGUGCAGACAAUUGCAUUGCCAGGAGAUAGGCCACCAAAAAGUGUGGUUUGUGGACGCCUGAAAUGUUUUUGGCCUUUCUAAAGCAGAAAAAUGUAAUUCAAGCUGCAGCACUUUUCUCUGCUAUCUGUGUUUAUGUAGUAAUGCAGCUGCAUUACUUUAUGUAGCUGUAUUUGUGACAUCUUUUGUGUCUUUCAUAUUUUGUGUCUUUCAUAGCUGUAGGGCUCUGACACUACUCGACGUGUCACCCUGUUUUAGAUAUUGCAUCUUGCAAAGAAGAGAUGUUUAAAUAAAGAAUUUCGUACCUGACAGUGCUUUUUUGAGAAAAUUCAAAAAAUGUGUAAAGGAAUACCUUGUUUGAAAAGUUCAGACAGAGUUAGGAAGUUCACUAAUGGAAUUGCCUUCAAGUUCAUUUGAAAUGCCAUUGAUAUCCGAGACAUUGCCCGGAGAGCUUUGCAGUGUGAUUGAACUCACCUGUUCUAAUACCAGCCAGCCUAAAAUAAAUACAAAAUAUAGCUGCCACAACCGUUUCUCGUCACUGCGUGUAGUCGUGCAUGUUUGCGAAUGUACGCGUACAUGCAAAAUUGAAAACUUUUGAGGGUUAGAACCACCAACCCUCCUCCCUCUACCAGCUACGCCAAUGUCGAAGGAAUACCCGAGUGAGCGGCAGUAUAUAUGUGUGAAAAAACUGCAGCUGAUUUAUGUGAGUGGGGAAGCCCAGACAGUAUUCAAAAGAGUGUGUUGAUUUUUCAGGAUACUUUAGCUACUUAUAUGGACAUUUUGUUUUGUUUUGAUAGCACUCUGUUUCACAGCCAGUUUUCAACAUUUAGACGAUGUCUCAUGUCUAGAAAUCUUGCCCACAAAUUUGGUCAGUAGUGUGAUUUGUCGACUUGUCGGUUCUCAUGAGAGAAUCUGUGUAGAAGAUUGAGUAAUGGGACUGAAAGUGAAGCCAUAUACGGGUAAAGCAGCAGUGCGAGAAAACGUCAUCCACUCUUCAAUGACUUGUUCAAAUGCAUCGAAAUAUAGGCGAAGUGAUUUUAUCAGACUCCCAAUUUUGGCAUCACAAUCUUCUGUGAGAACAAUUGCCAGACGUGACAGUACCAUUGUAAACCUCAUUACAGUGAACCUAAGGUUGGCUAUACCGGGUGUUUCAAGAAAUGUGCCGAAAAUUCUCAAAAAUCGCGAAAAUGCGAUAUUUGCUGGCUGCCUUGAGAAUUGCUUGCGCUGUAGCGGCAGGCGUCUUAAGAUUGUUAAAGACCAUUUGGGACU